ACUCCUGAGCUCUGUGCUGCAACCUUGGGGCAUUGGGCUCUGUCUUUCGGCCCCUCGGGGUCAGACCCCUGCUGUGUUGGGGGAUCCGAAGUGCUCCCAAGCUGCCUGGAAAGCAUUCAGGCGGGGUCGCUAGCAAGAACUCAGGCUGGGCAGCGGAGGCGGCACAGUGCACACACUCCUGCAGGAACAACCAGACAGGGGCUUUGGGAGGGGCUGCGUGCAGGGGGUCCCGCAGAACAUAUGCGCCCCAGUCCCGCAGGAAGGACCGCCCUGCUCUCUCUUGGCUCACUGGUGGGGACAGCACUUCCUGGAAUAACGUUGCUUUGGAUUUAACAACAGUUGGGCAAAGGAGGUCGGUAUACAGAUACAGGACAAGAAGAGUGGUGUCAAAGGGAGGCUAAAUCAUUGGUUCUGGCUUCAUCUAAGGAAUUCUUAUGAGAAAUCGAGGGAGAGACUGUCCUGGGAAGUCUGAUGAAACAUAAAUGGGGUUUUGCCAUGUCGCUUAGGCUGGUUUCAAACUCCUGGACUCAAGCGA
rnacentral:lncRNA from 1 species